AGUGAAGCGGCAAAAGCUCAAAUUUGAAAUCUGGUACCUUUGGUGCCCGAGUUGUAAUUUGGAGAGUACCACUUUGGGACUGUACUUUGCCUAUGUUCCUUGGAACAGGACGUCAUGGAGGGUGAGAAUCCCGUGUGGCGAGGGUGUCAGUUCUUUGUAAAGGGUGCUCGAAGAGUCGAGUUGUUUGGGAAUGCAGCUCUAAGUGGGUGGUAAAUUCCAUCUAAAGCUAAAUACAGGCGAGAGACCGAUAGCGAACAAGUACAGUGAUGGAAAGAUGAAAAGAACUUUGAAAAGAGAGUGAAAAAGUACGUGAAAUUGUUGAAAGGGAAGGGCAUUUGAUCAGACAUGGUGUUUUGCGCCCCUUGCCUCUCGUGGGCUUGGGACUCUCGCAGCUCACUGGGCCAGCAUCGGUUUUGGCGGCCGGAAAAAACCUAGGGAAUGUGGCUCUGCGCCUCGGUGUAGAGUGUUAUAGCCCUGGGGAAUACGGCCAGCCGGGACCGAGGACUGCGAUACUUGUUAUCUAGGAUGCUGGCAUAAUGGUUAUAUGCCGCCCGUCUU
rnacentral:rRNA from 1 species